rnacentral:tRNA from 4 species
GCGGCGUGGCGAAAGCCCCCCGGGGCACCUUUCAAAGGUUGGGGUCGUGGGUUCGAAUCCCAUCGCCCGCUCCA